rnacentral:rRNA from 1 species
ACGGAAUCAACUAAGGGCGCAUGGGGGAUGCCUUGGCUCUCGGAGGCGAAGAAGGACGUGACAAGCUGCGAUAAGCCACGGAGAGGAGCAAAUAUCCUUUGACCCGUGGAUUUCCGAAUGGGGCAACCCACCGGAAGCGAUUCCGGUACCCUCCCGGUGGGAGGGGGCGAACGCAGGGAACUGAAACAUCUAAGUACCUGCAGGAAGAGAAAGUAAAAACGAUUCCCCCAGUAGCGGCGAGCGAACGGGGAAGAGCCCAAACCGGCGGCGUAGCAAUGCGUGUGCCGGGGUUAUAGGACCGUCAACAACGAAUAUGCAGCGAUAGCAGAAGAGCUUGGAAUGGCUCACCGCAGAGGGUGAAAGUCCCGUAAGCGAAAUUGCGCGCAUGUUUAAGGCGGCACCUGAGUAGGCCGGAACACGAGGAAUUCCGGUUGAAUUAUCGGGGACCAUCCCGAAAGGCUAAAUACUACCGAGAGACCGAUAGCGAACCAGUACUGUGAAGGAAAGGUGAAAAGCACCUCGAACAGAGGAGUGAAAAAGACCCUGAAACCAUGCGCCUACAAGCGGUCGGAGCCACUUAGUGUGGUGACGGCGUGCCUUUUGCAUAAUGAACCUGCGAGUUGCCGUCGUCGGCGAGGCUAAGGUCUUCAGGACCGGAGCCGGAGCGAAAGCGAGUCCGAACAGGGCGUUUAGUCGGCGGAGGCAGACGCGAAACCGAGUGAUCUACGCAUGAGCAGGAUGAAGGACAGGUAACACUGUCUGGAGGUCCGAACCGGUAAGCGUUGAAAAGCUUUCGGAUGACUUGUGCGUAGGAGUGAAAGGCCAAUCAAACUCGGAGAUAGCUCGUACUCCCCGAAAUGCAUUUAGGUGCAGCCUCGGGUAAGUACCGCGGAGGUAGAGCGACCGAUAGGAUGCGAGGGCUUCACCGCCUAUCAAGUCCUGACGAACUCCGAAUGCCGCGGUAUGUUGCCCGGGAGUGAGGGCGCGGGUGCUAAGGUCCGCGUCCGAAAGAGGAACAACUCAGACCACCGUCUAAGGCCCCGAAAUCCGGGCUAAGUUGAAGACAAUAACGAGGUGGAGCCGCACAGACAGCUAGGAUGUUGGCUUGGAAGCAGCCAUUCAUUUAAAGAGUGCGUAACAGCUCACUAGUCGAGCGGCUCCGCAUGGAUAAUAAUCGGGCAUAAGUCCGGUGCCGAAGACGUGGGAUUAUCGAACAGAUAAUCGGUAGGGGAGCAUUCCGCCGUCGGUGAAGGUAGGGCGUGAGCUCUGCUGGAGAUGGCGGAAAAGCAAAUGCAGGUAUAAGUAACGACAAAGGGGGCGAGAAACCCCCUCGCCGAAAGACCAAGGGUUCCCGGGCUACGCUAAUCGGCCCGGGGUAAGUCGGGACCUAAGAGCACGCGGAGACGCCCUGCUCGAUGGACAUGCGGUCAAUAUUCCGCAACCCCGGCAUGAUUAGAGACAGCGGUGACGGAGAAGCGAAACAUCUGCGCACUGACGGAAUAGUGCGUUUAACGGUAAAGUCUUAUGCUGCGGCGGAAACGCAGCUGAUGAAGCCGGAAAGUACUCAAGGUGCAUGCACUGAGAGAUAAUGAUGGAGGAGCAGGCUCCCAAGAAAACCCGCGAGUCUUGUCUGACUCAUGCCGGGCCCGUACCGGAAACCGACACAGGUGGUCGGGUAGAAGAUACCAAGGCGCUCGAGAGAUUCACGGUCAAGGAACUAGGCAAAUUGGCCCCGUAACUUCGGGAUAAGGGGCCCUCCCCCCUCAACAAGGGGAGGCGCAGAGAAUAGGUCCAGGCAACUGUUUAGCAAAAACACAGGGCUGUGCGAAGCCGAAAGGCGCGGUAUACAGCCUGACACCUGCCCGGUGCCGGAAGGUUAAGCGGAGCUGUCAGAGCAAUCGAAGCAGUGAAGUGAAGCCCCGGUAAACGGCGGCCGUAACUAUAACGGUCCUAAGGUAGCGAAAUUCCUUGUCGGGUAAGUUCCGACCUGCACGAAUGGUGUAAUGAUCCGGACACUGUCUCGACCGUGAGCUCGGUGAAAUUGUAGUAUCGGUGAAGAUGCCGAUUACCCGCAACGGGACGAAAAGACCCCGUGAACCU